rnacentral:rRNA from 1 species
UUAUCUAAGAGUUUGAUCCUGGCUCAGGAUGAACGUUGGCGGCAGGUUUGACACAUGCAAGUCGAACGGUAGAGUGGAGCUUGCUCUGCUUGAGAGUGGCGAACGGCUGAGUAACACGUA